AGGGUGUAGGUGUUACGGUAGCAUAUCGCUCUCCAAAAGCGACGGCCAGGGUUCGACCCCCUGACACCCUGC
rnacentral:tRNA from 2 species